rnacentral:lncRNA from 1 species
CACAUUUCUAAAAAUAUUUUAAUGAAAAAGUUAUCUUUCUGUAAACAUUUCAUUAUACUACAAAUGAAACAUUUGAAUCCAUUACAGACCACCUCUUAAGUCUUAAAAAAUCAGAGUAAAACAUUGAAAUUUAAAAGUAAUCUUGUUCAUAUAUCCUUAUUACCCCUGCACAUUAGCAUGCUCACUACUUUGUGAUAUUACUGGAAUUCCAAGACACCAGCAUUAGAUAUUUCAAAUUGUGACUUAGUAUUAGAACUCUCAAAACCAAGUGUAUUUCAACUGUUCCUUAACAAAUUGUCUUUGAUACCAAUUUUUUUUAAAGUAAUGAAAUGUAAAUUGAGUUUGUCCCUUUUUUUUCUAAAGAAAUGUGUGGGAAGCUGUAACCUAAGAGUUGCUUUGACAAAAUCAGUUAGGGUUUGCCUUCAUCAUCUCCCCUUGUAUAAAAUAUCCUUUUGUUUACUGGUGCUGACUUAGGAGCAUCCUAUUUUUCAGAAAUAACAGUGGAACUACAUUUAAAUAAAAUCAAAAAAGUGAAAUAAUCAUAAAGAAAUGAGUUGGACUGGAACAGAAAAAUACUUUUAAAAAACUUUUUCUGUCUUAGGAAAUUUGCUUUACCAAACACCAUGUUGUAAAUAAUUUGUCAUUACAAGGCUGUUUAUUACCUUAUUGAACACUUCAUUUUCUGGUGAUGUGUAGAAAUUCAGUUCUAAUUUAGGUAUAGAGAGAGACUCAACCAAUCAUUUUCUGAAAAUAAAACCUGUGUCAAAGAAUUCCAGUUUAUGUAAGAUCUUGACUGAUUUAUAAUUUAAAAACUAGUUUUAUUUUAACCCUCUGCCCCACCAAUGUUACUUUUUUCAAGUGAUUUAAUAUCUAAUCUCAAAUUUUAACAAGCCCUUCUGAGGCAGCACUAAUAGCCCAUAUGAACAAUCAGCAUCUGAUAUGAAUAAUAAUUGAGUAACAUUUUAACUACUCUUUGGAAAAGCUUGUCUUUUAGAAAGGAGCUUUAGUGUAAGUAGGCUCCCACUGCUUCUGGGUAACAGGUUAAACACAAAAAAAACUAAAAAAAAAGAACCAAAAAUUUUAUUCUAUUAAUCCAAAUAAUUCCCUAUAGUCAUAUGCAAGAGAACGUAUUUAUGUAUGAGGCCACCUGAAUACCUGUAUGAUCUGACAAUUGUGAAAGUUCAUUCUUUUUCCCUAGGAAGAGGACUGGAAGCUUAAUGCUUGCUACAAGUCAUGCUUAUUACAAAAACCCUUCAAAAAAAAAAAAAAAUCUGGUCACUCUUUCUCUUGACUUCACCCUAGAGACACCAACAAUGAAUUAUCUCUGACUCUAGAUGAAUGCUCAUGUACCUAAUAGUUUGAAAAUAUGUAAUAUAAAUUUAUAGGGAAACAAAUGGUGUCAUCAGGCUUUACUGUGAGCUACAAACCUUACCCAGCCAGAAACCUUCGUAUUUAAGAUGAUGGUAGGAAAGACAUUCCUCAUUUAGGCAAGUAGGGUUCUCAUUCAACCUGCAAAUCAAAAAGAUUACUCUUACCUUGCUUUACAAAAAAUUACUCUUUAAUUAGUGAAAAAAUUCAAAUUCAAGCCUUACCUAAUGCUUAUUGCCCUUCCUCGCAGGCCUAAAUGCUAGACCUAGAGACUGUGGCCAACUAUCUCUCAUUGAUGUUCCAAAAGGCGAAGAGCUCCUUCCUGCUAGACUUUCUUCGAUAUUUCAGUUGUAAUAAGCAGAUUUAAUGAGCUUUUGGAAAGUUUCUCACUAGAGCCAUAGAAUCAUAUGCCUUCACUUCUCUGUAGGUGAAGCUCUUGUUGCUGUCUCCUCAUUGCAAACUCAAAAGGCUGCUGAAGUCCUAUCUUAGUGAGUCUCCUUUGAUCCACUCUGUGCUUAAAGAGCACAUCUUAGGUCCUUUAAAGCUGAUUAAAUUGCUCUCCUCAUGUCUUAACUUUUCCAGACUGUUCACAAGAACUCAGCUAAUACAGCUUAUAAACAGGUCACAUACACAAGAUUUCACCAGCUUAUAUGUUGUGGACAUCAAUUUAACGGACAAUAUUUUAACUAUUAAACCAGUUCCAAAACACAGAAAGUUUGUUAACAGCACAAUAACCUCAUAUGACAUUAAAGUAUACUGUCAAGGUUAUGUCAAACAAUUUCACAAAGAAAGAGGAAAUGUGAAUUUUCCCCAUUCCUUCAAACUUUAUUACAUGAAUAAAAUAACAUGAGACAGUUUAGCUUAAUUUUAAUGUUUCCCAAGCAUUACUUUGACCAUGUACCCAGGUUUAAGUUAUGAACAUUGACAGUGUCCAUUUAUAUAACCACACUUGAAGUUGUUAACGACUUAACCAUUUUCUAAUAAUUAGCCUAUUUUCUACAUGGCUUAUUCACACAUGUCCAUUAACAAAUGGAAUGUUGUCUGUUAUGUUUAUUGGUUGGUGAGUGUUUUCUGGAAAACUGCAAAAUCUGUGAAGACCAAUUUUUCAUGCUGGCAUUGCAUGCAUCCAAAUAUCAAUGUACAGAGGCACAGAAUUAGAGCAACAAGAGAGCAUAUUCAGACACUGGGCAAGCCCCAUCCCAACUUUUUUGCUUGUUUUGCUCAGUAUUUCUUAAAACAAAAAUAAUAAUCUCAAAUUCAAUGUUCAACUGCCAAAGAACUAAUUACAACAGAGCACAGGGCACAUACUUAGGGCUCAAAUGAGAUUGUAAGCACUAGCUGGUGCAAAACAGUAGGUUUUUAUAUACAUGACCUUGUUAUCUAAAACUCUUCUCAACCAGGGUCUUCCAAAUAAAUUGUUAACUCAUACCAACAUGAUUUAGGUUCAAGCAUACACAUGGAAUAUCAAUGUGUUCUUUGGGAUUUUAAGUGACUACAACUCUGCCUAUCCAAAUUUGAAUUCAGGUCUUUGGGAAGUGAAAAGCUUAUUUGUAUUAAAUAACCAUGCUAUACUUCUAAUGCAGUUAUUUGUGAUGAUUAUAUCUAGACUAUCCUUGGUUUCAUCCAGUAAAAUGAAAGGAAAGCAUCCAGGGAAGCAUGUCAGCCAGCUAAGAGUUCAACAAUGCAUGAUUUUUAUUUUCUUGCUCUGAGAGCUUAUACCAAUAUAUAUAUCUAUCUCCAAGGAAAAUAACUGAAGAUAUACAGGCCUCUUGUGCUUUAAAAAGGAGGGAAGAAAGUAGCCACGAAUUUGUUCAAUAUAGCAGGCUUAGUGGUCCUGUAUUCAAAGAUUUUUAAAAUGUUUUAUAAGGUAGGAGGAAAGGGAAAAUAUUCACUACCUCUUUCCCAAAUUUAAACAGAGGGCAGCAGACAUCCUUUACACCCAAAUAAUACUAUGGCAGCAGUUCUUAGGUGAAGAAGGUGAAUGCAGAAUGGAGAUGUUCUAAACACAGCUAGGACUCUCAGCAAAGCUAAUGCACUAAAAUCAUAUGAUUCCAUUUUGAAAGAAAAUGCACAAAAACCAAAUAGGAAUUUUGAGAUUUUUCAUCUGAAGGAAAAUCUUACUGCUAUGAAAUUCACAAACAUGCUAAUUUAAAUACCCAAUUCUAUUGUCUAAAACACACACUGCAAACAUACAAAUAUAUCUUCUCUUCACAUGUCAGAGCCCACCUCAUUUCAUGGUUUGGAAAUGGGGAGAACAGAUCCCCUUAAACUGAAAGUCAGCAGGUGUUUCUUUACAGUUAACUUUACCAAAAUUAAUACAAAAUUGUUAACAAUGAUCUUCUUUCUUGUUAACUCACAAGGAAACACCUUCAUAACUGCAUUUUCUUUAGAGUUUCUGUACUAAAAUAUGGAAAAACUGAAUAACAAAUAUUGAAAAGUUAAAAAUUUCCCAAUUUUUUUUCUGGUAUCACUACCACAAUUUACAGGGCAAUAUUUCUGAUGUAAUGAAAAGAAAAAGAAAAAGAAAAAGCUGCAACAUGUAAAAGACCUCAGGAAUGUACAUGUAUUUCAAGAACUGCACUUUUUGCAAACUAUGGCUAUGACAUCCUGAAAAAGAAGGAUUUCCUAUUUAAGCUGCAGUAACUUUUCUGUCUAUAGAUCAUUGUUCCUUCUGUGGCAGAUACUUACAGUGCCUCUAAUGCAUUUGGGAUGGAUGUCUCAAAGUAACUCACAGAUUUUCUGACAACUCCUCACUCUCUCUCCUGCUAAGAACCAUAGCCCUUUUAUGCUGUUUUUAAAAACCUCUUCUACCAUAUCCACCACUUCCACUACCACAUCCAUAACUACCACCAUAGGGACUUCCUGAGCUUCUUCCACCAAAACUGCUCCCCCUUUCACGGGUCCAUAAUCUGAUUGUUGUUCUGCAAUAUAAUUUUGAAAAUCAUUAUAGUUACCACCACCACCACGGCUGCCGCCUCCAAAAUUUCCUCCUUCUCUGUAACCAUCAUAUCCUCCACCACCGCCACAUCCACCACCUUGGGUUCCAUAUCUUGGUCCACCACCACCAUAGCCUCCUCUACUAUUCUAACCAGGAACACCACUAGAGUUUCCACCAUCAUCUCCAAAUCCAGUAUACUAACAUCACCUCCUCCAUAACUACCCCUGCAGCCACCACUUCCACCACCAUAAAUUCCUCUUCCACCAAAAUUUCCACCAUGGCCAAAGUGCCUCCACCACUUCUGCAGUUUCCUCCACAACCCAUAAAGUUGCCAGAUACACCCCCAAGACCUCUCUGUGGUCCCAUCAGAUGGCAUUUCUUGUUUAAAAAGAGCCUAUUUCACUUCACGAUCACACCCAUUUAUAGUGUGGUAUUUUAAACAACAAUUUUAUCAACUGUA